UACGGAGGAUGCGAGCGUUAUCCGGAUUUAUUGGGUUUAAAGGGUGCGUAGGCGGAAUAUCAAGUCAGCGGUAAAAAUUCGGGGCUCAACCCCGUCGUGCCGUUGAAACUGAUGUUCUUGAGUGGGCGAGAAGUAUGCGGAAUGCGUGGUGUAGCGGUGAAAUGCAUAGAUAUCACGCAGAACUCCGAUUGCGAAGGCAGCAUACCGGCGCCCUACUGACGCUGAGGCACGAAAGCGUGGGUAUCGAACAGG
rnacentral:rRNA from 1 species